GUCCUGGCAGUAAACGGUGCACGUUUGGUGUGGGAGGAUUCGACCCCUUCUGCGCCGGAGCUAACGCGUUAAACGUGCCGCCUGGGGAGUACGGUCGCAAGAUUAAAACUCAAAGAAAUUGACGGGGGCCCGCACAAGCGGUGGAGUAUGUGGCUUAAUUCGAUGCAACGCGAAGAACCUUACCUGGCCUUGACAUGCAUCUCUAAACCGGUGAAAGCCGGCGAGUCUCGAAAGAGACAAUUUGCACAGGUGCUGCAUGGCUGUCGU
rnacentral:rRNA from 1 species